rnacentral:rRNA from 1 species
UACGUAGGUGGCAAGCGUUAUCCGGAAUUACUGGGCGUAAAGCGCACGCAGGUGGUUGUCUAAGACGGACGUGAAAGCUCCUGGCUUAACUGGGAGAGGUCGUUGGUGACUGGAUGACUUGAGGCGAGGAGAGGGGUGUAGAAUUCCCGGUGUAGUGGUGGAAUGCGUAGAGAUCGGGAGGAAUACCAGUGGCGAAAGCGACACCCUGGCCUUGGCCUGACGCUCAGGUGCGAAAGCGUGGGGAGCGAAC